GAUGAACGCUGGCGGCGUGCCUAAUACAUGCAAGUCGAGCGAACAGACGAGGAGCUUGCUCCUCUGACGUUAGCGGCGGACGGGUGAGUAACACGUGGAUAACCUACCUAUAAGACUGGGAUAACUUCGGGAAACCGGAGCUAAUACCGGAUAAUAUAUUGAACCGCAUGGUUCAAUAGUGAAAGACGGUUUUGCUGUCACUUAUAGAUGGAUCCGCGCCGCAUUAGCUAGUUGGUAAGGUAACGGCUUACCAAGGGAACGAUGCGUAGCCGACCUGUGAGGGUGAUCGGCCACACUGGAGGUGGGACGCGGACCAGGCGCCUAAGGGAGGAAGCAGAAGGGAAUCUGCCGCAGUGGUCGAAAGCCUUGCGGAGCGACGCGGAGUGAGUGAUGAAGAUCUUCGGAUCGUGAAACUCUGUUUUGAGUGGAGAACAAAUGUGGAAGUAACUAUACACGUCUUGACGGUACCUAAUCAGAAAGCCACGGCUAACUACGUG
rnacentral:rRNA from 1 species